UCGAGCGAUCUUCUUCGGAAGAGAGCGGCGGACGGGUGAGUAACGCGUGGGUAACCUGCCCUGUACACACGGAUAACAUACCGAAAGGUAUGCUAAUACGGGAUAACAUAAGAAAGUCGCAUGGCUUUCUUAUCAAAGCUUUUGCGGUACAGGAUGGACCCGCGUCUGAUUAGCUAGUUGGUAAGGUAACGGCUUACCAAGGCGACGAUCAGUAGCCGACCUGAGAGGGUGAUCGGCCACAUUGGAACUGAGACACGGUCCAAACUCCUACGGGAGGCAGCAGUGGGGAAUAUUGCACAAUGGGCGAAAGCCUGAUGCAGCAACGCCGCGUGAGCGAUGAAGGCCUUCGGGUCGUAAAGCUCUGUCCUCAAGGAAGAUAAUGACGGUACUUGAGGAGGAAGCCCCGGCUAACUACGUGCCAGCAGCCGCGGUAAUACGUAGGGGGCUAGCGUUAUCCGGAAUUACUGGGCGUAAAGGGUGCGUAGGCGGUCUUUCAAGUCAGAAGUGAAAGGCUACGGCUCAACCGUAGUAAGCUUUUGAAACUGUAAGACUUGAGUGCAGGAGAGGAGAGUGGAAUUCCUAGUGUAGCGGUGAAAUGCGUAGAUAUUAGGAGGAACACCAGUUGCGAAGGCGGCUCUCUGGACUGUAACUGACGCUGAGGCACGAAAGCGUGGGGAGCAAACAGG
rnacentral:rRNA from 1 species